rnacentral:rRNA from 1 species
GUCCACGCCGUAAACUAUGUCUACUAGCCGUUGGGAGACUUGAUCUCUUAGUGGCGCAGCUAACGCGAUAAGUAGACCGCCUGGGGAGUACGGUCGCAAGACUAAAACUCAAAUGAAUUGACGGGGGCCCGCACAAGCGGUGGAGCAUGUGGUUUAAUUCGAUGCAACGCGAAGAACCUUACCAGGUCUUGACAUCCUGCGAACCUUUCAGAGAUGAGAGGGUGCCUUCGGGAGCGCAGAGACAGGUGCUGCAUGGCUGUCGU